UACGGGGGGGGCAAGCGUUGUUCGGAAUUACUGGGCGUAAAGGGCUCGUAGGUGGCCAACUAAGUCAGACGUGAAAUCCCUCGGCUUAACCGGGGAACUGCGUCUGAUACUGGAUGGCUUGAGUUCGGGAGAGGGAUGCGGAAUUCCAGGUGUAGCGGUGAAAUGCGCAGAUAUCGGGAGGAACACCUAUGGCGAAGGCAGCUCGCUGGGACGUUACUGACGCUGAGACGCGAAAGCGUGGGGAGCAAACAGG
rnacentral:rRNA from 1 species